CUGCGGGGCCUGGACCCAGAAUUGCGCCGCAGGCUGAGGUUUGGGAUCAAGCCUCCAUCAGUAGCGAGGGAAGGGAAAUUGCUGAGAAGCCGGAUCAUCGAGCAGGUUUCCUCUUCCGGGAUUGGCCUCUGCAGAUGCGCUGAUCAUACACGUCACCAUGGCUCCCAGGCUCACAGGGCAUCUCUGGAGGACAGCGGGACGCUGUUGCCUUCUCCUCUUGCUGAUUUCCAGGACUGUUACCUCCACCCAAUGCCAACCUGAGCCAUCAGGCGCUGGCGAUUGCCCUCACACUCUCUGUUCUGUGUCCAGUGGGGGCUCCUUGCGCAUCCCACUUCACCUGCCCGCCACCCUGGACCUUUACAAGAUGCACAAUUCCACGCUGACAUGGGACCACAUCUACACCUUCAUCAACGGGACAUCACAUCAGCUGCUGCGUUCCUUCCAAAGGCAGGUCUCCGUGUCCGGGGGCGACUUCAUGGUGCAAGGCGUGCGCCGCGGGGACGGGGGAGUCUACAUGUUCCAAGAUCUGGAUGCGACAUGCCUGGCCUGGCUCCAUCUGACAGUUCUGGAGCCCGUGGAUUGGAGAUGGUACCUGCUCCUUCUCAUUCCAGUUUCGCUGGUUCUAGCCCUUGUGGGCUGGAAGCUAAAGGACUCGUGUCGGCGAGGAUAGCCGUGGGUGACCAAGAAGCUGGAGACAGAAACUGUGGAUGUGACCAGGGAGCCCCCAAAAUCAGCCUGUCACUGUUUGUGUGUGUUUGGGACACAGAGGUCUCCCCCAACUCCCUUAACUAUCCACACAGCUGAAGGCUGGUCUCCGUAGGAGUUCCACCUGGGUGACACACACAGUGGUGAAACCACAGCUGUGUGUGCAUAGUCACACACUUCAGGUAGCGCUGGUGCAAGCGGCCUCAUCUCUGAGCCGCACCUCCGUGCAUGGCGCAUUGCAUUGUGGGUAGCUAACCCAGGCACUCCAUGGCCCACUGAAUUCUGGGUAAAUUUUGCACUAGAUUGUGGGAUAGUUCCAGGAAGCCAGGGGGAGUUGCCUCUGCGCUGUAUCCCAGAAUUCACCACGGUAAUUUUUGCUGUGCUUUGUGGGACACUUCCCAGAGGCCCAGAGCACUUGUGAGAAAAGGGAUCAAAGGACCACCGUUUCCCCCUGCCCGCAUUCCCCAUAUCCCAGAAUUCACUUGGUGUGCAUGCCCCUUCCAAACUGAUCUCUGAACAUGGAGCUCCAGGUCCUGCUGAAACAGUAAACCAGUGCUGGCAUAGUGGGUGAGGUGACGGUGGUCUCUGGAGUCAUGCAAGCCAAAAUACCCAUUGGGAUGUUGACUCUGAGCCCUAAUGAUGAUACUUGACAUGUCAACAUGCUUAAGGGGUUUGUAAACUUCAUCUGAGAGGGAGGCUGACCUUGUGGUGACAGGACUGUAGUCUAUCCCCAGCUUUGCCAUACCCUCCCUGUGUAGCCAUGGGUAGUCACUGCAUUGCUCAGUGCCUCAGUUUCCCCCUCUGUAAAAUGAGGAUGAUAAGCCUUUUGUGUAUUUAGAUUAUAAAUCUUGCAGGGUAAGGACUGUCAGUAAGGUUGUAUGGCAUCUGGUACAAUGGCUGAGCUUGGAUGGUGUGACCGUAAUAUAAAUAAUAAGAGAGAGAGAACAUUGUCAUCACAGAAGAUA
rnacentral:lncRNA from 1 species